rnacentral:rRNA from 1 species
AACGAACGCUGGCGGCGCGCCUAAUACAUGCAAGUCGAGCGAGAAGACGUAGCAAUACGUUUGUAAAGCGGCGAACGGGUGAGGAAUACAUGGGUAACCUACCCUCGAGUGGGGAAUAACUAGCCGAAAGGUUAGCUAAUACCGCGUACGCUCCUUGGACUCCGGUUCAGGGAGGAAAGACGAUACCGUGGGUAUCGCGCUCUUGGAUGGGCUCAUGUCCUAUCAGCUUGUUGGUGAGGUAACGGGCUCACCAAGGCUUCGACGGGUAGCUGGUCUGAGAGGACAAUCAGCCACACUGGCACUGCGACACGGGCCAGACUCCUACGGGAGGCAGCAGUAAGGAAUAUUGCGCAAUGGGCGAAAGCCUGACGCAGCGACGCCGC